rnacentral:lncRNA from 1 species
UGAAAAUAAUGCAUUGCUGAUAUAGUAGCAAAAUGGAUAGUUCAUUGUUGUAGAAAGCAGCAGCCAGAAGGAAUCAUAAUGUGCAAAAUGAGUAUGCCACUGUUGCUUAUUCUCACACAUCGGUUUGCUACUGCAAGUACAAAUAUGAUCUCAGAAAGAGCUACUACACUAAUAUUCCAUAGUGAAAGCCAUCAGAUGAUGGAACAAAUUUGUGUUGGUGUCAAUCCAGUCCUUUGAGAUCAUAUUUAGCAAAUGCAUCACUACCUAGACAUAAAAAAUAUAGAAAACACCAUAAUAAUAAAUAAUGUAAAAUAUGGACUAUAUUCAAAUUCCAUUAACAUCCUACAGAUUUGGUUAAUUGGAAGAUAUAUAUUACCCACCUCAUUAAAAGUGUAGUAGUCUACUGUCUGUUAGUGAUGCCUGUCUACGAACAACCCAAUAUCACCACCUAUUCAUAUUCAUAUGGUCAAAUAAAAGGAAAUCAAUGCUAUGGUCCAGCCCCAUACGACAUAAAAAUGUUACACAAAUGUGGAGAACAUACAUGGAAAAUUUAUUUGCCUCCAUAUGUAGUCCUGCAAAUCACAUGAGAAGACUGUAAUUUUACAUAAAUCUAUUUAUAUGAAUCUACAUCAAACCUGACUGAGAAAAGGAGAUGGCAAAUCAAGAUCAGCAAGAUGACCAGCUGUACACCAACAUAGGCAAACAUUUAACUCAAUAAUCACCAAACAGAUUAUCCCAAUUUGCCAUGCCAAAACGUACAGCUUCAUAAGAAAAGAGAGGUAGGCAAUAACAUAAACUGGGUAUGAAUUAGCCUGCCCAGAAUGAAGAAAAAAUAUUAUCCAUAAGGUAAGAAUAUCAUUUAUCAAUACUACCUGCAAAGCUUAGCAUGUGAAACAAACUUUACUUCCAAAGUGCAACCUGUAUAAGUAACAGUUCCGUCAGUUUAGGAUGCAGGGCUGGAAAAAUAAUGUAAAUAGUGGUAUUAAAAUAAGAGUUAUUGAAUUUUUUUUAUCGUAUAAGAGUUAUUGAAUUGAAGGUAUUAAUGUAGGCUCUUUUAUUUGCGAUAAUUCAAGGCAUAAUGGAAAUUGGAAAAUCAAAGAACAAAAAGGAUCAUGAACAUGAAAAUUAGAUCUUCAACAUGGAUACCUGUUGUGUCGAGAGAAAUAUCAUGGUUGUAUGUUAAACCGAGAAAAAAAACUGCAGAGUAGAAGAGGAAGGAAGGCGUCAGACAUGCGCAUUGUGAUGGGCGAUUUUUAAGCUAGAUGAGGGUGCGCACUUAAGAAAUUAACUAAAAUUGCCGAGGAGUAACUGCAGGGACAAUAAUUGCAGCGAAUAAAAUAGUAAGUUUCAGCGACCUGCUCCUUCCAAUUCGGGGCCGUGACGGGGAUGGCUUGCAGACCAUGGUGGCGGCGGGAGACGCCGGCGUCCUGCUCAUUCCUGAG